rnacentral:rRNA from 1 species
UGGGGAAUUUUGGACAAUGGGCGAAAGCCUGAUCCAGCAAUGCCGCGUGUGUGAAGAAGGCCUUCGGGUUGUAAAGCACUUUUGUCCGGAAAGAAAUCCUUGGCUCUAAUACAGUCGGGGGAUGACGGUACCGGAAGAAUAAGCACCGGCUAACUACGUGCCAGCAGCCGCGGUAAUACGUAGGGUGCAAGCGUUAAUCGGAAUUACUGGGCGUAAAGCGUGCGCAGGCGGUUUGCUAAAGACCGAUGUGAAAUCCCCGGGCUCAACCUGGGAACUGCAUUGGUGACUGGCAGGCUAGAGUAUGGCAGAGGGGGGUAGAAUUCCACGUGUAGCAGUGAAAUGCGUAGAGAUGUGGAGGAAUACCGAUGGCGAAGGCAGCCCCCUGGGCCAAAUACUGACGCUCAUGCACGAAAAGCGUGGGGAGCAAACAGGAUUAGAUACCCUGGUAGUCCACGCCCUAAAACGAUGUCAACUAGUUGUUGGGGAUUCAUUUCCUUAGUAACGUAGCUAACGCGUGAAGUUGACCGCCCGGGGAGUACGGUCGCAAGAUUAAAACUUAAAUGAAUUGACGGGGUCCAUAGCUGUUUCC